rnacentral:rRNA from 1 species
AUGGUUGAAGAUGUGUGCAAAGUGACUAACUCCUUAGUCCAUGAUGAUGUUCAUCUAAGGGCAGGGGAAAUUGAUGAGCCUGGUUUCAUAUUGUCAUUCAAGGUACCUCCGGUGUCCUUGGUUACAUAUGGUGAUUCCAACAUUGUGCUCGUCUUGCUAAACACUGUGAAGCAAAGGAAAGCCACAAGACCAGAUGUUCCCCUCAACCUGGAGAUCUUUUCUUUUUCAAUGGUAAUGCAUGAGCAUGCCGCCGUUAUGAUAGAGCCCGGGAUGAAGGUUGGGUUCAGUAUAGAACUAGGAGGUGCGCCCUCUCCCCGCACGCCGCGUGCGCGUCACGCCAUUUGCGGGGCCGUGGGUGCAGUUGGCCCAAUCCAAUCGCCCGCACGCCGCAACCCUUCCUCCCUCCUCGAUCUCUCUCCCUCAACCGCCACAAACCCUAGCCCCCUUUCCUACCAUCCCGCGGUCGCUGCCCCUGCUCCAUCCGACCUCCAUCCUCUCCCUCCAUCCUCUCCCAUGUCGCCGCCCCUCUUCUCCCGCUCACCUUGGCCACCUCCUCUCCUCCGCCGUGUCAUCGGCCCCCUCCCUCCUCUCAGUUCCGUGCCAGCCGUCGCCCAAACCCUAGCCCCAUUCCCCUUGAUCCCCACAGUUACUGCAUCCACAACCACCCGCUCAGCGAGGCCGAAGACCGGGCAACGGACGCCUGACGGGGUGGAGGAGAGGCCAGCGAUAGGGAAAAGCAGCAUCUUCAUGGAUGAGAUCCUGACGGCUGAAGAUGGUGCGCAUGGGAGGAGCUUGGAAGAUGUCAAGAGGCCGUCACCUUUGCUCACCUCCUCUCAUGUUCUAGUGGUGGCGCCGCUGGGGAUGAGGGGAGCAGCAGCCGCAGCAGGCGGUGAUGCUAGUGAAGCGGUGGUCCAUGGUGCCUUCGUCGUUGUCGUCCUCGGCAGAAGAUCGAACGAAGAAGAGAAGAGGAAGGAUCUUGAGGAAGAGGAAAAAAAACAAGGAUGCUUGUUCAUUCUUCUUACCUGCAUUUCUCCCUCACUCCAAUCAGGCAAUGGGACUAUUGACUGGGUACAAGAGCUUCUUCAGAAAACCCACGCUGCUUUUCUAAAUCGCAAUUUUUUUCAAGGUACACAUGAAUCUACGAUCCAGAUUCUAGCUACACCCUUUACUACAACAAUCUCGGGCUUUACUGAAAAGUGCGCUGCUUAUAUAGUUGAUAUCUUUAAUUCAUAUGGUCGUCCGCUGGAUGAUCACUGGUCUUCGGUUCAUAUGGUCACUGGCUGGAAGCUUGCUGUUAUGUUUGCUUCAUAUGGUGGUCGACUGGAAGCUCGCGGUCUGAAUGAUCUCAUUGUCUAUGGCCGGCAAUACACACUUUUCAUUACUACCAGCCAGGAGGUUCUUGGUUGCUUGGGGUUCACGGGCCAUCAUGAUGAUAUACUUGGUUCUUUAAAGAAGAAUGUGCUAUUUCUGAAGCUUCGCUGUGCUUGCUUUCCCCCAACAAGCAGUAAUCCAAUCACGGGUGCAUCAGAAUGUUGUCAUCUUUAUCUUGCUGAAGUACAGAACUAUUGCACCGACGACCACAAUGGGAUGGAUCAAGCAGCCAAGACUCAGAGUGUGGUCGGGCAACGCCAUGGGGCAGAUCUGUGCGGCGCAAGGGGCAGCAGAUGCGAAACUGAAGCUUCCCAGCUAACUUCGGAGCAGUCAAUUGAGCAGAUGGACACGACGAUAUUGGAGACAACGCCAUUGUGCCGAAGCUCUGAAGCAUACGAUUUUUACAAUCUGUAUUUAUGGGAGAAAGGAUUUGGCAUUCGAUAUGCUAAAAGCCGUCUGAAUGUCGAGAGGACGUGGAAAUCUAUUAUGGAUAAUACUGGUCUUGCCAGCGUUAGUGCCCUACUCUGAUAAGGCUGCUGCAGUCUGAACCAUUCAUUGUCUGGCACGCGUGCGCAGACGAUACACUGACGAUCGCACAAGCACAUCAGCGUGUACAACAGGUAUUUGAUGAAGAAUUUGAGGCAGAACAAUGUGAACCUUGCUAAAGUGCACAACAUUAGGCAGUUUCUUUGGGUCGACGGAGAAUGUGCCUUUCACAAAAAGAGCUUCAAGGAGCUUGUGUGGCAAAAUAAGCCGCGAGCAAGCGGCUGAUGAUGUUAGUUAAACGAUGGAGGUGAUUGUGGAGCUUGGUUCAAAGGAUCCUCACUUCACAUAUCAUGUGCAGGCAGAUAAGGAGGGGAGGAUAAACGCACUCAUGUGGGUAAAUGGGGACAGUAGUCUGGUGCAAAAAAGACUAGCUUAUUCUUAAAUUUUCUGUCUCUAUACUGAAUUUGGUGUGUACCGAUAAAUCAUGUAGCGUGUGAGAUCCAUCAUGCAGUUUAACUGCUAAAAUUAUGUUAUGCAUAUGCCCUGAAGCUGAUGAAUUUGUGUUCUCCUAUACUGAAAUGUCAAAUUGAU